rnacentral:lncRNA from 1 species
GGCUGCCAAAGAGUUUCCUGCUCGGGGGCCACCCAUCCUUGGCCGCAGGAUGCAUGGUUGGAACUCAUGGCAACUUGCACCGAGUGAGUGCCGGGACUUUCUGUUCUCGGGGCUCAUGCUUUGGAUUCCAUCCCUCAGGCCCGUGGCACUCAUCAGUGGAGGCUGUUGUGUUGGUGCUUGUUUGGGACUAGCUCAGAACACAUGUCACAGCGGCGGUCCAAGACCCAGCUCGCAGGCUUGGAGCAGGGACAAUGCUCUGUAAAGACUUACAAGCUGAUCUUCCCUGACGUUAAUGCAGGCUCAGCGUUCCCACAAAUCAGCUGCAGGGGAGGCAGGCAUUCCCUCCACCUCACUCUCUGUGAAUUAACUUCUGGAACUGGCAGGCAACGCAGAUGACCACCAGAGGGUUUCAACAAUGCUACCCCACCCUCUUUGAAGUCCACCUUGGCAGACGCUGAUCUCUUUUCAUGUAUUAUUUAUUGCCAUGGACUGUGACAGGGAGAAUCCCCAGAAGAUGGCUGGGGCUGUUUUCUCAGGAUUUCCUUUGAUUGGAAGCUGUUGGCGGUGCCUUCCGCAGCUGGCUCUGCCACAGAGCGGAGGGAUCAAUGUGUCACCCAAGCGAGAGCUGUACAAAGGAGGUUCUGGCUGUGAAAAUACCUUGGAUACUCUUAAGAACUCAGCAUGCUGCUGGAUCAACCCAGUGGAAGCAGGAGAAAAGAUCAACCA